rnacentral:rRNA from 1 species
CGCGUAGGUGGUUUGUUAAGUUGGAUGUGAAAGCCCCGGGCUCAACCUGGGAACUGCCUCCAAAACUACUGAGCUAGAGUACGGUAGAGGGUAGUGGAAUUUCCUGUGUAGCGGUGAAAUGCGUAGAUAUAGGAAGGAACACCAGUGGCGAAGGCGACUACCUGGACUGAUACUGACACUGAGGUGCGAAAGCGUGGGGAGCAAACA